AUUGAACGCUGGCGGCAUGCCUUACACAUGCAAGUCGAACGGCAGCACGGGAGCAAUCCUGGUGGCGAGUGGCGAACGGGUGAGUAAAGUAUCGGAACGUGCCCAGUCGUGGGGGAUAACGUAGCGAAAGUUACGCUAAUACCGCAUACGAUCUAUGGAUGAAAGCGGGGGAUCGCAAGACCUCGCGCGAUUGGAGCGGCCGAUAUCAGAUUAGGUAGUUGGUGGGGUAAAGGCUCACCAAGCCGACGACCUGUAGCUGGUCUGAGAGGACGACCGGCCACACCGGGACUGAGACACGGCCCAGACUCCUACGGGAGGCAGCAGUGGGGAAUUUUGGACAAUGGGCGAAAGCCUGAUCCAGCCAUGCCGCGUGCAGGAUGAAGGCCUUCGGGUUGUAAACUGCUUUUGUACGGAACGAAAAGGUUUGGCCUAAUAAGCUGAGCUCAUGACGGUACCGUAAGAAUAAGCACCGGCUAACUACGUGCCAGCCGCCGCCGUAA
rnacentral:rRNA from 1 species